CCAGACUCCUACGGGAGGCAGCAGUGAGGAAUAUUGGUCAAUGGUCGGGAGACUGAACCAGCCAAGUCGCGUGAGGGAAGACUGCCCUAUGGGUUGUAAACCUCUUUUGUCAGGGAGCAACGCCGGCUACGUGUAGCCGGACUGAGAGUACCUGAAGAAAAGGCAUCGGCUAACUCCGUGCCAGCAGCCGCGGUAUAACGAGGAAGCGAGGGUUAUUCGGAUUUAUUGGGUUUAAAGGGUUCGUAGGCGGAAUGCCAAGUCAGCGGUAAAAUCGCGGGGCUCAACCUCGCUCCGCCGUUGAAACUGGCGUUCUUGAGUGGGCGAGAAGUAUGCGGAAUGCGUGGUGUAGCGGUGAAAUGCGUAGAUAUCACGCAGAACUCCGAUUGCGAAGGCAGCAUACCGGCGCCCAACUGACGCUGAAGCACGAAAGCGUGGGUAUCGAACAGGAUUAGAUACCCCCGUAUAA
rnacentral:rRNA from 1 species